AGUGUUAGGCACUUUGCCGGCAUCGUGUCUUGUUACCUCCAUCAGGGCUCUGAAGCAGGCGCCACUAUUACCUCCAUUAAGAGACAUGGAAUCUGAGGUUCAGAGACGCCGAGCGACUUGCUCAAGGUCACACAGCUACUGAAUGGACUGACCCGUGUAACCAACAGGAUAUUGCAGAAAUGAUAGUGUGAUUUCUGAGACUACUUCAUAAAGGACACUGCAGCUUCUGCACUUGUUCUAGGCUAGUGGAAGCCAGCUGCCAUGUUGUAAGCACACACAAGCAACCCUAUGGAGGAUUAUAGGUGGUGAGGAACUGAGGCUUCCUGCCAUCAGCCAGAACCAAUGUUGCAGUGCCAGUCAAGCCAUCAAGUGACCACAGCUCCAUUCUGACAUCCUGACUGCAACCUUAUGAGAGAGCUUAAGCCAGAAUCACCUAGCAAAAUUACUCCUGAAUUCCUGACACACAGAAAGUGUGAGUGUCUGGGACAGUGCUCAUCAUACAGUAGGUGCUCAGUACAUGCUCAGUGAAUGAAUGAAGAUGGUGGAAAGGAACCCGUUGAAGGUUCUUCUGCAGGAGGGGCCCAGCCUCCAUUUGGCUCUCCAGGCCCAACUUGAUGGUCUUCCUCAUGCCUCC